UACGGAGGGUGCGAGCGUUGUCCGGAAUCACUGGGCGUAAAGGGCGCGUAGGCGGCCUGAUAAGUAGGGGGGUGAAAUCCUGCGGCUUAACCGCAGGGCUGCCUUCUAAACUGUCAGGCUGGAGCACAGUAGAGGCAGGUGGAAUUCCCGGUGUAGCGGUGGAAUGCGUAGAGAUCGGGAAGAACAUCAGUGGCGAAGGCGGCCUGCUGGGCUGUUGCUGGACGCUGAGGCGCGACAGCGUGGGGGAGCAAACAGGG
rnacentral:rRNA from 1 species